AACUCUCACCCUUCAACUUUCUUAAUAGUGGUUGAAGGCGUGGACUUGAGCGCUGCUGGUUUUUAUUAACCGGCUCGCUUGAAAUGAAUUAGCAGAUCCUUUUUGUAAUCGGUUCCACUCGACGUGAUAAGUAUUUCGCCGAGGACAUCUUAACGGAUGGCCGAGAUAAAGAAAGUCUUUAGAUCCGCUUCUAAUUCUUAGCCUUACGCAAGUAAGCUAAACCCAUUUUAUG
rnacentral:misc_RNA from 2 species